CCCCUAGAUGUUCUGGGCCGCACGCGUGCUACACUGAGUGGAUCAGCGGGUCAGGUUGCGCGAAAGCGUUUCCUAAUCUUUAAAUCCGCUCGUGAUGGGGAUUGACGGUUGCAAUUUUCUGUCAUGAACGAGGAAUACCUUGUAAGCGCGGGUCAUCAUCCCGCGCUGAAUACGUCCCUGCCCUUUGUACACACCGCCCGUCGCUCCUACCGAUUGAGUGGUCCGGUGAGGCUUUGGGAUCUGAGCGGAAAGAGCGUUUCGCUGUUUCUGCUCGGAAAACUCAGUCGAACCUUAUCAUUUAGAGGAAGGAGAAGUCGUAACA
rnacentral:rRNA from 1 species